rnacentral:misc_RNA from 1 species
UUGUUUCUUGUUUUUGAUUCAGACACAAAGGCUGAUUAAAGCAUAAAAGCGGCGCCGAAGCACAUCUUGCUUCCACAGGUUUACAAGGUUGAAGGCCGAGAGGCCAUUCAGUAAUGAUCCCUCCGCAGGUUCACCUACGGAGA